UAAAAUCCAUUGAGAUGAAAUAAAACAUUUUAACCAUUUAAAAAAAAUCCAUACUCGUAAGCUUUGAAAAAAAUUUUAUCAUGUAAUAAAUGGGGCUUAAUCCCAAAAUAUUUGCUUUAAAGUCCAUUAAUAAUUUAAAUAAUAGAAUGGACUUCAUUUAGAAUAAAUAAUCCCAACUUCCAAUAUUAAAAUUUAAAUCAAGAGAUUUAAAUUCACUAAGUAAUUUAGUGAAAAUUUAAACAUUUUUUUUUUUUUUUUUAAGAAAUAAGGCCAAAAUUCGUAGGCCUAUAUUUAAAACAAUAGCCCAAGCAUUUAAAUAAAAUUAGCCUACACAACUAAAAUAAAAACCCAUCAAUUUUAAAACAAAAAGAGCCCAGCAGAAGUAAAAUAAAAUCGGCCCAAACAAAUUAAAACAUGAGCCCAACUUAAUAAAAAUCGGCCCACUCACUCUUUUUUUUAAAAAUUUUUCGGCCCACCCUAAACCUAACCCUAAUACAUACAACAUAUACCACACACACAAAACACAUAACACACACACUCAAGCUCAGCGCCUCACUCUCCCUCUCUACCUCUCGGCUCUCUCCUCUUCUCUCCCUCUCGUCUCUCUGUCUCACCGGAAGUCAGCCGCACGCCGCCUCGCCGUGAAGGAGCUCGGCCGCCGUCCAUCUGGUCUUCCUCCUUCGGCUCCUGCUCGGACAAGGGCGCGGGUAGCUUCCUCUCCAUCCCCUCGUCUGGAACAGGGCAUCUGCCCUCUCCGCCAUAGGGAGCGCACGGUCGCCGCCUGGCCGCCUCCUCCGUCGUCCGUCGUGGCUGAAAUCGCGGUGGAGGCCGAGCUUCGUCUCGCCGGAAAGGUAAGUUCCAAAUCUUCCCCCUUUUCCUCUCUUUUCUAUUUUUAAACCUAGAUCUGAAAUUCCCCCCCCUCUUUUCCUCUUUUCCGGUCGGUCAGGAACAGCCCGUUGCUCCCGCCGCCGUGUCGCCGCUGCCGAUGCCGCCGCGUCGUCGUCACCGGAGAAGAUAAGUCCUCCCCUCCCUCUCUUCUUUCUUUCCCCUUUUUUUUUCUUUAACCUAAUCUCUCUCUCUCUCGGUUGUUUCAGACAGAAAAAGGAAAAAGGCGGUGGCUUGCCGCCGCGCCGCCUUCGGCCGUGAGCAGCCGCCGGCUGCUCUCACCCCCAACUCUCCAUUCCCGGACAUACACAGAAGGCAAAGACACAAGAA
rnacentral:lncRNA from 1 species